GCGGGCCGCGCAACGCCGACAGCAGCGGACUCAUAAUCCGUCGGCCGUGGGUUCGAGUCCCACCCGCCCCA
rnacentral:tRNA from 1 species